rnacentral:rRNA from 1 species
AACGAACGCUGGCGGCAUGCCUGACACAUGCAAGUCGAACGAGAUCUUCGGAUCUAGUGGCGCACGGGUGCGUAACGCGUGGGAAUCUGCCCUUUGGUUCGGAAUAACCGUUGGAAACGACGGCUAAUACCGGAUGAUGACGUAAGUCCAAAGAUUUAUCGCCAGAGGAUGAGCCCGCGUAGGAUUAGCUAGUUGGUGUGGUAAGAGCGCACCAAGGCGACGAUCCUUAGCUGGUCUGAGAGGAUGAUCAGCCACACUGGGACUGAGACACGGCCCAGACUCCUACGGGAGGCAGCAGUGGGGAAUAUUGGACAAUGGGCGAAAGCCUGAUCCAGCAAUGCCGCGUGAGUGAUGAAGGCCUUAGGGUUGUAAAGCUCUUUUACCCGGGAUGAUAAUGACAGUACCGGGAGAAUAAGCUCCGGCUAACUCCGUGCCAGCAGCCGCGGUAACAC